GGAUCCGUGGCGCAAUGGUAGCGCUUCUGACUCCAGAUCAGAAGGUUGUGUGUUCGAUUCACGUCGGGUUCA
rnacentral:tRNA from 1 species